rnacentral:rRNA from 2 species
UACGGAGGGUGCGAGCGUUAAUCGGAAUUACUGGGCGUAAAGGGCGCGUAGGUGGUUUGGUGAGUCGGAUGUGAAAGCCCCGGGCUCAACUUGGGAAUUGCAUUCGAUACUGCCUGGCUAGAGUACGGUAGAGGGAAGCGGAAUUCCCGGUGUAGCGGUGAAAUGCGUAGAUAUCGGGAGGAACAUCAGUGGCGAAGGCGGCUUCCUGGACUGAUACUGACACUGAGGCGCGAAAGCGUGGGGAGCAAACAGG